rnacentral:lncRNA from 1 species
CAGACACCAGCCUGUCAAUGCCAGCCAUCCUCAGCCACAGUAUAAAGAUAGUGCUGAUUCCGUCCAGAAAUACCUGCUGGCCAUCGGAGGCAGGCUGUGCUGGGGCAGGGAGCCCCGGGGGAGAGAGGUGACUCAGGCAAGCCCCGCCCUGCCGGAGCCCAUGCACAGGAGCAGCCCUGAGCCGGGACUGCAGAGAGCCGGGCCAGGAGGUGGCCAGGUGCUGGGGAAGGCUACCAGGAGGAGGCAGCAUUGGAGCUAGCCUGGGCGGAGGCCAAGAGGGGAUCGGGUACAGCGGCAGAGGUGACAAGUGUGCGAGCUUGGGGCACACGGAAGCCCCAUGUGGCUGCAGGGCAGUAUCCCACGGGACAGCAAGGAGGAGACACCUGCCAGCUUCCUGGUCCUUGAUGCAGACCAGAAAAAAGGAAGAGGAGGAAGAGAAGGAGGAGGAAGAGGAAGAAGAGAAGGAAGAAGAGGAAGAAGAGAUGGAAGAAGGGGAAAGGAGAUCUGGAGCUGUCUCUUUAAAUCUUUCUAGAAGUCCAACAGGAAUAGAACAUUUAUCUGUGUGAAGGCUACACAGGCUUAACUAAAAAUGUCAAGUUUCUUUGCUGGAAUUUUAACAGGGAACAUGAUAAGUGUACAUUUAUUCAGUAAUGAUCAAUUCCGGGUUCUCUUUUGUAUGAGAUGAAAUGGUGACAUGCUGCUCAGAAGCUCUGCUUGGUUUUGUUUCAUACAAAAUCACCUCUUGAAGUUAUAAUUGCUGGAUGAAUGUUAUCUGAUUGUCCUAAACUCUUGCUCUUCUCUCUGUGUUGUGUGCCCUGGGGAGAGGCUACAAAGAUGGGAUAAUAAAAAAGUAAAAUGUUUGCUUUAAAAAAAUUUUUUUUUUUAAUUUUUUUUUUU